rnacentral:rRNA from 1 species
AUUGAACGCUGGCGGCAGGCCUAACACAUGCAAGUCGAGCGGAGCGGCGGACGGGCGAGUAAUGCCUAGGAAUCUGCCUGGCAGUGGGGGAUAACGUCCGGCAACGGGCGCUAACACCGCAUACAUUCCGAUGAGCCUAGGCCGGAUGAGCUAGUUGGUGGGGUAAAGGCCUACCAAGGCGACGAUCCGUAGCUGGUCUGAGAGGAUGAUCAGUCACACUGGAACUGAGACACGGUCCAGACUCCUACGGGAGGCAGCAGUGGGGAAUAUUGGACAAUGGGCGAAAGCCUGAUCCAGCCAUGCCGCGUGUGUGAAGAAGGUCUUCGGGUUGUAAAGCACUUUAAGUUGGGAGGCGUUACCAGCAGAAGAAGCACCGGCUAACUUCGUGCCAGCAGCCGCGGUAAUAC